UCAGAUUGAACGCUGGCGGCAUGCCUUACACAUGCAAGUCGAACGGCAGCACGGGAGCUUGCUCCUGGUGGCGAGUGGCGAACGGGUGAGUAACAUAUCGGAACGUAUCCUGGAGUGGGGGACAACUAGUCGAAAGACUAGCUAAUACCGCAUACGAUCUACGGAUGAAAGUGGGGGAUCGCAAGACCUCACGCUCGUGGAGCGGCCGAUAUCUGAUUAGCUGGUUGGCGGGGUAAAAGCCCACCAAGGCAACGAUCAGUAGCUGGUCUGAGAGGACGACCAGCCACACUGGAACUGAGACACGGUCCAGACUCCUACGGGAGGCAGCAGUGGGGAAUUUUGGACAAUGGGCGCAAGCCUGAUCCAGCAAUGCCGCGUGAGUGAAGAAGGCCUUCGGGUUGUAAAGCUCUUUUGUCAGGGAAGAAACAGCAGAGGCCAAUACCCUCUGCCAAUGACGGUACCUGAAGAAUAAGCACCGGCUAACUACGUGCCAGCAGCCGCGGUAAUACGUAGGGUGCAAGCGUUAAUCGGAAUUACUGGGCGUAAAGCGUGCGCAGGCGGUGGUGCAAGACAGAUGUGAAAUCCCCGGGCUCAACCUGGGAAUUGCAUCUGUGACUGCAUCGCUAGAAUGUGUCAGAGGGGGGGUAGAAUUCCACGUGUAGCAGUGAAAUGCGUAGAGAUGUGGAGGAAUACCGAUGGCGAAGGCAGCCCCCUGGGAUAACACUGACGCUCAUGCACGAAAGCGUGGGGAGCAGACAGGAUUAGAUACCCUGGUAGUCCACGCCCUAAACGAUGUCUACUAGUUGUCGGGUCUUGAUUGACUUGGUAACGCAGCUAACGCGAGAAGUAGACCGCCUGGGGAGUACGGUCGCAAGAUUAAAACUCAAAGGAAUUGACGGGGACCCGCACAAGCGGUGGAUGAUGUGGAUUAAUUCGAUGCAACGCGAAAAACCUUACCUACCCUUGACAUGCACGGAAUCCUCGAGAGAUUGAGGAGUGCUCGAAAGAGAGCCGUAACACAGGUGCUGCAUGGCUGUCGUCAGCUCGUGUCGUGAGAUGUAGGGCUAAGUCCCGCAACGAGCGCAACCCUUGUCAUUAGUUGCUACGAAAGGGCACUUUAAUGAGACUGCCGGUGACAAACCGGAGGAAGGUGGGGAUGACGUCAAGUCCUCAUGGCCCUUAUGGGUAGGGCUUCACACGUCAUACAAUGGUGCAUACAGAGGGCCGCCAACCCGCGAGGGGGAGCUAAUCCCAGAAAGUGCAUCGUAGUCCGGAUUGCAGUCUGCAACUCGACUGCAUGAAGUUGGAAUCGCUAGUAAUCGCGGAUCAGCACGUCGCGGUGAAUACGUUCCCGGGUCUUGUACACACCGCCCGUCACACCAUGGGAGCGGGUUCUGCCAGAAGUAGUUAGCCUAACCGCAAGGAGGGCGAUUACCACGGCAGGGUUCGUGACUGGGGUG
rnacentral:rRNA from 1 species